GAGUGCGAUCAUGUCAGCAUUAAUAUACCGGAUCACAUCAGAACUUCGAAGUUAAGCGUGCUUGAACGAGAGUAGUACUAGGAUGGGUGAUCCCCUUGAAAGUUUCCGUGUUACACCCU
rnacentral:rRNA from 1 species